CCACGGGCGGCAGCAGUGGGGAAUAUUGGACAAUGGGCGAAAGCCUGAUCCAGCCAUGCCGCGUGUGUGAAGAAGGCCUUCGGGUUGUAAAGCAUUUUCAGUGGGGAAGAAAGCCUUGGGGCUAAUACCCUCGAGGAAGGACAUCACCCACAGAAGAAGCACCGGCUAACUCCGUGCCAGCAGCCGCGGUAAUACGGAGGGUGCGAGCGUUAAUCGGAAUUACUGGGCGUAAAGCGCGCGUAGGUGGUCUGAUAAGCCGGUUGUGAAAGCCCCGGGCUCAACCUGGGAACGGCAUCCGGAACUGUCAGGCUAGAGUGCAGGAGAGGAAGGUAGAAUUCCCGGUGUAGCGGUGAAAUGCGUAGAGAUCGGGAGGAAUACCAGUGGCGAAGGCGGCCUUCUGGACUGACACUGACGCUGAGGUGCGAAAGCGUGGGUAGCAAACAGGAUUAGAUACCCGGGUAGUC
rnacentral:rRNA from 1 species